UGCCAUUAUGAGGAUGUGUCGACACUGCCU
rnacentral:piRNA from 1 species